AUGAGCCAGAAGUCCUGCAAAGUGUCCACCUCUGGCCCCUGGGUCUUUGGCAGCCGCUCCUACACAAUGGGCAGCAGCAGCUUCCAGAGUGGCCUGGGUGGAGGCUAUGGUGGGGCCAGCAUCACUGACUUCACAGUCAACCAGAGCCUGAGUCAACCAGAGCUGAGACCCCUUAACAUGGGGGUGGACCUCAAUAUCCAGGCUGUGUGCCCCCAGGAGAAGGAGCAGAUCAAGAUUUUAACAAGUUUGCCUCCUUCAUCGACAAGGUGCGGUUCCUGCAGCAGCAGAACAAGAUGCUGGAGACCACGUGGAGCCUCCUGCAGCCACAGAAGAUGGCUCGGAGCAACAUGGGCAACACAUUCAAGAGCUCCAUCAACAACAAUCUUAGGUGGCAGCGGAGACUCUGGGCCAGGAGAAGCUGCAGCUGGAGGCGGAGCUCGGCAACAUGCAGGCGCUGGUGGAGGACUUCAAGAACAAGUAUGAGGAUGAGAUCAACAAGCUACAGAGAUGGAGAAUGAAUUUGUCCUCAUCAAGAAGGAUGAUGUGGAUGGAGCUGACAUGAACACGGUAGAGCUGGAGCCUCUCCUGGAAGGGCUGACUGACUAGAUCAGCUUCCUCAGGCAGCUGUAGGAAGAGGAGACCAGGAGGGGCAGUCCAGAUCUCAGACACGUGUGUGGUGCUGUCCAUGGACAGCAGCCGCUCCCUGGGCAUGGACGGCACCAUCACUGAGGUCAAGGCGCAGUAGAGGUCGCCAGUCGCAGCCGGGCUGAGGCUGAGAGCACGUACCAGAUCAAGUAGGAGGAGCUGCAGAUGCUGCGGCGUUCAAAGACUGAGGUCUCUGAGAUGAACCGGCACAUCAGCUGGCUCCAGGCUGAGAUUGAGGGCCUCAAAGGCCAGAGGGCUUCCCCAGAGGCCGCCAUCACAGAUGCCGAGCAGCGUGGGGAGCUGGUCGUAAAGGAUGCCAACGCCAAGCUGUCUGAGCUGGAGGCUGCCCUGCAGCAGGCCAGGCAGGACAGGGCGAGGCAGCCAUGUGAGUGCCAGGAGCUGAUGAACGUCAAGCUGGCCCUGGACAUUGAGAUUGCCACCUACAGGAAGCUGCUGGAGGGUGAGGAGAGCCGGCUGCAAUCUGGUAUGCAGAACAUGAGUAUCCACACGACGACCACCAGUGGCUAUGCAGGUGGCCUGAGCUUGGCCUAUGGGGGCCUCACAAGCCCUGGCCUCAGCUAUGGCCUGAGUUCCAGUUUUGGCUCUGGCACAGGCUCCAGCUCCUUCAGCCGCACCAGCUCCACCAGGGCCAUGGAUGUGAAGAAGAUCAAGACCUGUGAUAGGAAGCUGGCGUCCAAGUCCUCUGAGGUCCUGCACAAGUGA